CUGGCUCAGGACGACGCUGGCGGCGUGCCUAACACAUGCAAGUCGAGCGAGGAGAUCCUCGGGAUGAUCCUAGCGGCGGACGGGUGAGUAACACGUGGGCAACCUGCCUCAUAGAGAGGAAUAGCCUUCCGAAAGGGAGAUUAAUACCUCAUAACAUUGCAGUUUCGCAUGAAACAGCAAUUAAAGGAGCAAUCCGCUAUGAGAUGGGCCCGCGGCGCAUUAGCUAGUUGGUGAGGUAACGGCUCACCAAGGCGACGAUGCGUAGCCGACCUGAGAGGGUGAUCGGCCACAUUGGGACUGAGACACGGCCCAGACUCCUACGGGAGGCAGCAGUGGGGAAUAUUGCACAAUGGGGGAAACCCUGAUGCCAGCAACGCCGCGUGAGUGAUGACGGCCUUCGGGUUGUAAAGCUCUGUCUUCAGGGACGAUAAUGACGGUACCUGAGGAGGAAGCCACGGCUAACUACGUGCCAGCCGCCGC
rnacentral:rRNA from 1 species